AGCCUGCAGUGGGGUCCAACAUCGUUUUUUGUUUUCUUUUUAAGGCUCUAGGAGAUUCAACUCUGCAGCCAGACAGGUCAGGAACUACUGAACUGAUCAAUAUUGUCCCUAUCGGAAUGUGCCUGCUGUCAUCACCACACCAGCCAAAAGGAAGUCAGAAUUAUACCAGCGCAGGGAAGGACCAGGGGGCAGAGCCAGAAGUGUCAUGGGAGUGAGCAAGACUGGCCUAAUGGGCAAAGCCUGACACCAGCAGGAAGAGUGAUAGUCCGAGGAGGUAGGCUGGUGGCACCUGGGAAGUCUGGGGCCUCAAAUGGCCAGGUAGGGAUCAUCUCAAAUGACGGAGGCCCCAGGGAGUCAGCACCCCAGAACCCAAGAGGGCUGGGGCCUUGGCUUGGCAGAAUAAUUGUACACAUGCCCGGUGCUUUUCUACGUGCUUUAUGUUGCUUAGUUCAUUUAAUCUUCCCAACAAUUCUGUACUAUCUACUUUCACCCCCACUUUACAGACACGGUAACUGAGGCACAGAGAGACUACGUUGCUUCCUUAGAGUCAUACAAUUGAUAUGUGAGAGUCAGGAUUUGAGCCCAGGUAGUGU
rnacentral:lncRNA from 1 species